UGUACUUUUCCAGAGCAGGAAAAUAUUGUCACAUCACGACAAUUUGAGUAUAAAUACUCGGGAGUUUUCUUCAAUUGGCAUAGUCAGUUUGAGAAGUCAACUGAAGCAAUCCAAAUCAAUCCAAAAUGAUGAAGUUCCUGUUCUUCGCUCUCCUCGUCGUGCUGGCUGUUGCCACCGCCUUCGCUGCUCCUGAGCCAGCUCCCCGUCCCUUCGCCGCCCCUCUGCCAGCUCCCCAGCACGGAUAUGGCUAUGGCGGUUAUGGAUACGGCAAGGGCUAUGGAUAUUACUAAGUUGACAACCCGAAACACCCCAAUCUAUACGAUGAAAUGCCGCAACUUCUUUUGAUUCUGUCAAAAAUGAAAUCCCAAAAAUACACUUUGCAUUAAAAAACUUAA